CAUGGUUUAGCUAGUCUAACCAAGCAAAAAGAAAUUCAGUUUGACUUCCCGAAACUAAGUGAGCUACCUUAGGACAGCCUAAUGGGCAAACCCGUCUCUGUUGCAAAAGAGUGGGAAGAUCUUAAGGUAGAGGUGAUAUACCUAACGAACUUAGCAAUAGCUGGUUAUUUAGGAAAAGAAUCUUAGUUCAACCUAAAGCUUUAUUAAUACCCCAAAAUAAAAUUACUUUAGAGCUAUUCAAACAAGUCACAGCUUCUUUGAAAUAGGGUACAACCUCAACCUGUGGGUAAUUAACUACUGAACAAAUACAAGUAGGCCUAAAAGCAGCCACCUUUAAAAAAGCGUCAAAGCUUAUCUCCAAAACUUUUAUAUAUUCCUCAAACUAUUAAAAACCCCUCAACAGUACUAAAUAAUCCUAUACCCCUAUAGGACUCUUUAUGCUAAAACUAGUAACAAGAAAACCUUCUCUUAUAUGUAAGUGUAAAUCAGAAUAGAAAUUCUACUGAUACCUAACAGCCUUAACUCAAAGUACCAAACUACUUAGAAAAAUCUACUGAUUUAGCUGUUAAUCUAACACAAGAACAUAAAAAGAAAGAUUAUAAGAAAAAGAAGGAACUCGGCAAACCUUGAUUCCGCCUGUUU
rnacentral:rRNA from 1 species